rnacentral:rRNA from 1 species
CCUACGGGAGGCAGCAGUGAGGAAUAUUGGUCAAUGGACGAGAGUCUGAACCAGCCCAGUAGCGUGAAGGAUGACUGCCCUAUGGGUUGUAAACUUCUUUUAUAUGGGAAUAAAACGUUCCACGUGUGGGAUUUUGUAUGUACCAUAUGAAUAAGGAUCGGCUAACUCCGUGCCAGCAGCCGCGGUAAUACGGAGGAUCCGAGCGUUAUCCGGAUUUAUUGGGUUUAAAGGGAGCGUAGGUGGAUUGUUAAGUCAGUUGUGAAAGUUUGCGGCUCAACCGUAAAAUUGCAGUUGAAACUGGCAGUCUUGAGUACAGUAGAGGUAGGCGGAAUUCGUGGUGUAGCGGUGAAAUGCUUAGAUAUCACGAAGAACUCCGAUUGCGAAGGCAGUUCACUGGACUGAAACUGACACUGAGGCUCGAAAGUGUGGGUAUCAAACAGGAUUAGAUACCCUAGUAGUC